UACGUAGGGGGCAAGCGUUGUCCGGAUUUAUUGGGCGUAAAGAGCGUGUAGGCGGCCAGGUAGGUCUGCUGUGAAAACUCGAGGCUUAACCUCGAGCUGUCGGCGGAAACCAUCUGGCUAGAGUCCGGAAGAGGAGAAUGGAAUUCCCGGUGUAGCGGUGAAAUGCGCAGAUAUCAGGAGGAACACCAAUUGCGAAGGCAGCUCGCUGGGACGUUACUGACGCUGAGGAGCGAAAGCAUGGGGAGCGAACAGG
rnacentral:rRNA from 1 species